rnacentral:lncRNA from 1 species
UCUCCGCCGCUGUCCGCCUCUCCGCCGCGCCGCCGCUGUCCGCCUCUCCGCCGCUGUCCGCCUCUCCGCCGCUGUCCGCCUCUCCGCCACGCCGGCGCUGUGUGCCUUUGCGAGGGCGGAGCUGAGUUCUCCUUUGCACAGACUUCGGAGAUACAGCGAAGGCAGAGCAAUGUUCUCCUCAGCACAGACCCGGGCGGGCGGGCCGGUGGCACCGCGAGGGCGGAGCUGCGUUCUGCUCUGCACAGACCUUGGGGGCACUGCCUCGCUUUGGGACACCUCGGGGCCGCAUCGACGGUGAAUAAAAUCCUUCCUGUUUGCAGCCCUGUUUGUGGUUGGUGGCAGCGAUGGACACUGCAGCCAGCCAGAGCGUAGAAAGGCGUUGGGUGAAAGAAGAUGGCCAUGGAGACAGACAGCAGCAUGGUCAGAGUGGUAGGAGCCGGCCAUCAGCGAGAGCUGCUCCAUGCCUGGCUGCUGGAUGCUAGAGCCUGCGGCCCACUGGCUUGCCUCACUGUGGUUGCUGGUGGUGGUGACAGAGACUGCAGCAUGAACAGAGUGGCUUUUCUGGCUUUGCCUGCCCAGCUGCUCCGUGCCAGGAGGAGGAGGAGACACCUUGAGCCUGCGACACCACGGCUUGCCUCGCUGCGGAUGAAAUGAUAAGAUGACUUGAGAUGAGAUGAAAUGACGAAAUGAUGAGAUGAGAUGAGAUGAUGAGAUGAAAUUUUGAGAUGAAAUGGUGAGUAGAAACGAUGAGAUGAAAUGAUGAGACGAAAUGACAAAAUUGAAAAGAAAUUGAAAGGAGAUGAGAUGAGAUGAAAUGAGAUGAAAUGAUGAGAUGAUGGAUGAAAUGAUGAGAUGAAACGAGAUGAAAUGAUGAGAUGAAAUGAAAUAAUGAAAUGAUAUGAAAUAAUGAAAUUGAAAUGAGAUGAGAUGAGAUGAAAUAAUGAGAUAAAAUGAUGAGAUGAAAUGAGAUGAAUGAUGAGAUGAAAUGAUGAGAUGAAAUGAGAUGAAAAAUGAGAUGAAAUGAAAUAAUGAAAUGAGAUGAAAUGAAAUGAAAUAAUGAAAGGAAAUUAUGAAAUGUAAUGAUGAAAUUGAAAUGAAAUUGAAAUGAGUUGAAAUGAUGAGAUGUAAUGAUGAAAUGAAAUGAUGAGAUGAGAUGAAAUGAGAUGCAAUAAUGAGAUGAAAUGCGAUAACGAGAUGAGAUGAGAUGAAAUCAUGAGAUGAAAUGAUGAAAUGAAAUGAUGGAUGAAAUGAUGAGAUGAAAUGUAAUGAGAUGAAAUGACAAAUGAAAUAAUGAAAUGAGAUGAAAUGAAAUAAUGAAAUGAUGAGAUGAGAAGAAAUGAUGAGAUGAAAUGAUGAAAUGAUGAGAUGAGAUAAAAUGAGAUGAAAUGAUGAGAUGAAAUGAUGAGAUGAAAUGAAAUGAUGAGAUGAGAUGAAAUAUGAGAUGAAAUGACAUAAUGAAAUGAAAUGAUGAAAUGGAAUAAUGAAAUGGAAAUGAUGAGAUGAGAUGCAAUGAGUUGAAAUGAGAUGAAAUGAUGAAAUGAUGAGAUGAAACGAUGAGAUGUGAUGAAAUGAUGACAUGAAAUGAUGACAUAAAAUGAGAUGAAAUGAGAUGUAAUGAUGAAAUGAGAUGAGAUGAAAUGAGAUGAAAUGAUGAGAUGAGAUAAAAUGAUGAUAUGAAAUGAGAUGAGUGAUGAGAUGAAAUGAUGAGAUGAGAUGAUGAGAUGAAAUGAUGAGAUGAACUGAUGAGAUGAAAUGAAAUGAAAUAAUGAAAUUGAAAUAAAAUUGAAAUGAGAUGAAAUGAUAAGAUGAGAUGAUGAAAUAAAAUGAUGAAAUGAUGAGAUGAAAUGAUGAGAUGAGAUGACAUGAAAUAAUGAAAUGAAAUAAUGACAUGAAAUUGAAAUGAGAUGAGAAGAUAUGAGAUGAGAUGAAAUGAUGAAAUGAUAAGAUGAAAAGAGUUGAUGAGAUGAUGAGAUAAAAUGAUGAGAUGAAAGAUGAGAUGAAAUGAUGAGAUGAAAGAUGAGAUGAAAUGAUGAGAUGAAAUGGGAUGAAAUGAAAUUAGACGAAAUGUAAUGAGAUGAAAUGAAAUGACAUAAAUGAAAAAAUGAAAUGAAAUAAUGAAAUGAGGUGAAAUUAAAUGAGAUGAUGAAAUUAAAUGAUGAAAUGAAAUGAUGAAAUGGAAAUGAUGAGAUGAAAUGCCGAGAUGAAUGAUGGAUUUGAAAUGAUGAGAUGCAAUGAUGAGAUGAAAUCAUGAAAUCAUGAGAUGAGAUGAGAUGUAAUGAUGAGAGGAAAUGAUGAGAUGUAAUGAAAUCCCCCGCACUGCAUCCGAUGAAAUGAAAUAAUGCAAGGAAAUUGAAUUGACCCUAUCACCCGGAAUGAGCUAAAAUGAGAUGAAAUAAGAAAUGAUGUUUUGUUUUGUUGACAUGCUGAGGUGAGAUGAGAUGAGAUGAGACGAAAGAUGAGAUGAGAUGAGACGAAACGAUGAGAUGAAAUGAAAGGAAGAGAUGAAAGGCCGAGAUGAAAUGAUGAGAUGAGGUGAGAUGAAAUGAGAUGAAACAAGAUGAAAUGAUGAAAUGAUGAGAUGAGAAGAAAUGAGAUGAAAUGAGAUGAGAUAAAAUGAUGAGAUGAAAUGAAGUGAAAUGAAAUGAAAUAAUGAAAUGAAAUUGAAAUGAGAUGAGAUGAAAUGAGAUAAAAUGAUGAGAUGAAAUGAUGAGAAGAAAUGAGAUGAAAUGAUGAAAUGAUGAGAUGAGAUGAUGAGAUGAAAAAUGAUGAGAUGAAAUGGUGAGAUGAAAUGAAAUGAAAUAAUGAAAUGAGAUGAAAUGAAAAGAAAUGAUGAUAUUGAAAUGAAAUUGAAAGAUGAGAUGAAAUGAAAUGUUGAAAUGAAAUGAUGAAAUGAGAUGUGACAUGAAAUGAUGAGCUGAAAUGAUGAGAUGAAAUGAAGUGAAAUGAGAUUAGAUGAUGAGAUGAAAAAUGAUGAGAUGAAAAAUGAGAUGAAAUGAUGAAUUGAGAUGAGAUGAGAUGAAAUAAUGAAAUUAGGUGAAAUAAUGAAAUGAGAUGAAAUAAUGAAAUGAAAUUGAAAUGAGAUGAGAAGAAAUGAGAUGAAAUGUUGAAAGGAGGAAAUGAUGAGAUGAGGAGAUGAAAUGAUGAGAUGAAAUGAAUUGAGAUGAAAUGAUGAGAUGAAAAAUGAUAUGAAAAAUGAUAUAAAAAAUAUGAGAUGAAAUGAAAUGAGAUGAUAUGAAAUGACAUAAUGAAAUAAAUGAAAUUAGAUGAAAUGAAAUGAAAUAGUGAAAUGAAAUGAUGAAAUGAAAUAAUGAAAAUGAAAUGGAAAUGAGAUGAGAUGAGAUUUGAUGAAAUGAGAUGAUAUGAAAUGAUGGGAUGAGAUGAGAUGAGAUGAAAUGAUGAGAUAAAAUGAUGAGAUGAAAUGAUGAGAUAAAAUGAUGAGAUGAAAUGAUGAGGUGAAGUGAUGCACUGUCACGUGUGUGUCUAUUCUUUUUCCCAACCAACAAAAAUUAUAAAUCAUUAAUUUUUUAUUAUUUAAGAAUAUUCUUAAGAGUUGAAGGAAAAAUAAUAUCUGUACAUUAUGGGUUACAAUGUAAGUAUAAAUAAUACAUAAAUAUAUUAAAACUUACAAAGAAUAUGUUUUGGAAUCGAAUAUACCAUGCUUCUGUGAUGACAGUUAUUUCAUGCUGGUUGUCACAAUUUUACAUGAAAAACUAAUGAAAAAAUGUUUUUAACUGUUUCUAAAAAUAACAGUUUCCAAAACAGUUUUACAUUCGAAAUAUGAAAAAGAUGUCUUUGUGUUCCUUAAUCUGAUGAGAUUUUCACACUCUGCACAUGAUAAUUGUUAGAUUUUUAUUGUGUUGAUAAAUUGUAUAUCAAAAAAUGUUAUUACCUCUUAAAUUAGGAUUUUUAGGUGAUAUAGGCAGAAAGGAAGGCAAGUUUUUAUAACUUUGUCUAAAUGAACUUUGUAAAUGCCUGAGUAUUAAAAGAUAGCAUGUCUAUAAAUCACAAUGUAUAUAUUACUGUAUGACCUAGGACCAAUCAAAACCAUUACCUCUGAUAACAUUAUAUUGUGCCCAGUAUAAAAUAGAUAUAAUAAUACCUCAAACUUAAAUCCAGGCAUUGUCAUUGAAUAUCUUAAGAAUAUGCAGCAAAGGUGCUUUUAAAAAUACAAGCUAGUGAUUGUACUAAAUUUGUAAAUCACAUAGGAUAGUGGGUCAUUUUAAGAAUAUUAUUUCAAUCUAUAAACGUGGAUGUCUUUCCUUUUUUGUGUUUUCUUUAAUUUCUUUCAUUAGUAUUUGUCAUUUUUGUUGUCGAAAUCUUUUACUUCCUUGGUUAAAUUUAUUUCUAAGUACAUUUUUGUAGCUAUUGUAAAAGGAAUUGCUUUCUUAAUUUCUUGUUUCAGCUAGUUUACUAUCAAUAUAUAGAAAUGCUACUGAUUUUUGUAUGUUGAUUUAUAUCCUGCAACUUUAUUAAUUUCAUGUAUCACCCUAAGAAGCUUUUGGUAGAGUCUUAUUUUUUUCCGUGUAUAAGAUCACAUUGUCUUUAAACAGGGACAGUUUGACUGUCUCCUUUCCAAUUCAGAUGUCCUUUAUUUCUUUCUCUCACCUAAUUGUCCUGGCUAAGACUUUCACUAUGUGAAAUAUGAUUGGUGAGAAUAGGCAUCCUUUUCCUGUUCCAGUAAAAUCUUUUUCUUGUUCACAGUAAAAUCUUUCACGUUUUCCACACUCAGUAUGAUCUUAGCUGUAGAUUUGUCCUUUAUGUCCUUCUGUGUUAAGGCAUAUAUUUUCUAUACUAAAUUGUUGAGAGGUUUUUUGUCAUGUAAGAAUAUUUAAUUUUGCCAAACGCUUUUAUUGUGUUUAUUAAUUUAAUCAUAUGGUUUUCAGUAUAUAUCCAAAGGAAAGAAAAUCAGUAUAUCAAAGAGUUACCUGCACCCCCAUGUUUAUUACAGUACUAUUCACAAUAGCCAAGAUAUGGAAUCAACAAAAGUGUCCAUCAACAGAUGAAUGGAUAAAGAAAUGUGACAUACAUAUAUAAUGGAAUAUUAUUUAGUCAUAAUAAAGAACAAAAUCCUGUUAUUUGUGGCAACAAGAAUGCAAGUGGAGGGCAUUAUGUUAGGUGAAAUAAGCCUGGCAUAGAAACAUAAACACCACAUAACUACGUGUUCUCACUUAUGUAUGGAAGCUAAAAUUUUUAAUCCCGUAGAAGUAGAUAGUAGAGUUUUGGUUACCAUAUCCUGGAAAGAGUAGGAGAAAGAAGAGUAUAAGAAAAAUGUGGUUAAUACAUACAAAAUUACAGCUGGAGAGAAGGAAGAAGUUCUAGUUCUCUACAGCACUGUUGGGUGACUGUAGUUAAUGGGAAUUUAUUGUGUGUUUUCAAAUAACUAAAAUAAAAGAUUUUGAAUAUUCUCACUGCAAAGAAAUAAUACAUGAUUUAGGUAAUGGAUAUGAUAAUGACUCUGACUUGAUCUUUACACAUCGUAUAAAUAUAUCAAAAUAUCACUCUGUACCCCAUAACAUGUACAUUUAUUAUAUGUCAAUUAAAGUAAAUUUAAGGGGGAGGAGCCAAGAUGGCCAAAUAGGAACAGCUCCAGUCUACAGCUCCCAGCGUGAGCGACACAGAAGACGGUGAUUUCUGCAUUUCCAUCUGAGGUACCGGGUUCAUCUCACUAGGGAGUGCCAGACAGUGGGCACAGGUCAGUGGGUGCGCGCACCGUGCGCGAGCCAAAGCAGGGCGAGGAAUUGCCUCACUUGGGAAGCGCAAGGGGUCAGGGAGUUCCCUUUCCGAGUCAAAGAAAGGGGUGAUGGACGGCACCUGGAAAAUCGGGUAACUCCCACCCGAAUACUGCGCUUUUCCGAUGGACUUAAAAAACGGCGCACCACGA